rnacentral:rRNA from 1 species
UACGGAGGGUGCGAGCGUUAAUCGGAAUUACUGGGCGUAAAGCGUGCGUAGGCGGUGAUUUAAGUGGGAUGUGAAAGCCCCGGGCUCAACCUGGGAAUUGCACCCCAAACUGGGUCGCUAGAGUACAGCAGAGGCGUGUGGAAUUUCCUGUGUAGCGGUGAAAUGCGUAGAUAUAGGAAGGAACACCAGUGGCGAAGGCGACACGCUGGGCUGAUACUGACGCUGAGGUACGAAAGCGUGGGGAGCAAACAGG